AGAUAUAACUGUAAUAUUUCACAGUUAAUUACAUUAUUACCACUUCACAGGCUUUAACUGUGAUAAUUCACAAUAUAAUACCGUAUUUAGACUUUUACUGUGAAAAUAAUGCAGGCGCGGGGCUUUUACAAGAAACUACUGUAAAUGCCAUCUUUUUUGAGUGGCAACUGCGGCAGCGUCAUCAGAGCUCUCUGAUCUACGUGGUCUCAUUCGGUGGAUUCAGACAGCGGUAAGAGUUUAAAUGUCAAACUUUAUCAAUUUGAUGUUUUUUAUAUGAUAGUGCAUGUAAUUUAAAAGUAUGAACCAAAUUAGCGUUAGUUGUAGGUUCUGUUGUCAUGUUUUUGUAACUUAGCUGGAGCAGACUUGCAUCGACAUUUAAGCGUGCAAAUUUGAAUGAAAAGACGUUGGUUGUAGUGUUAAUUAUACCGUAUUAAGUUAACUUAACCGUGUUGAGAUGUCUGAUUAGAUACACCGUCGAACAUUUAACUUUAGCUUUACUUAAAGCUUAUCUUAGUUACUCUAACAGCGUUCUCUCUUUUACCACAGCAUUUUCUACAUUGACCGACGAUAAAUAAAGUUAUACGGUAAGAUGUGGCCUUAAUGUGGGUAUUAUGACAGUUAUUAUCAACUAGAUAAAUUAUGGUGUUUGUGGAUUUGGGCAAAGGUGGAUUAAAUUCAUCUCAAAUUAGUAACUUUAUAAUUUUCUUCCCUUCUGUGUGUGUGAAACGGAGCAACCGUUGUCUUUCUCGUCAACAGAAAAAUGAAGUGCGCAUGUCCAUGUAUUUUUUUUAAUUAUCUUGUCUCUGGAAUUUUCCACUGCCAAAAUAAAUGUUUUGCGUGGCAGUUUUCCCGCUGUUAGACCAAUGUGCACUUAUCUGUGUUUUGCCAGUACAUUAAUGUUGGUUAUAACUAGACAGUCCAAAGUAAUUGCAGUGAUUCGUAUCUGUAGGAUAUACGUUUGUAAUUAUUGUCUUUUAAUCAUCAUCUGGUAAUGGUGUUUGUAUAUACAACUUAAAUACAAACCGUAUAGUUUAGUUUCCAGUAGCCUACAGGGUGGUGAUGUAGCUUUCUAGCUACACUACACACUGUUCAUUUUAAAGUGUGGACGGAGAUCGUAUUCGUUUUAAUUCUCCGUUUCUAAACGAAAACGCAGUAGUGUGGACGGGGCCUUAAUCUGUGUGUCUGUGCUGGAGACCGGACCAGAUUAGACCAGAGACAAAGCUUAAAAAAAGUCAGAAACAACUAGAAAACUGGGUGCUUUAUUGUGAAAAAGAUAUAAGAAAUGAAAUGUUUAUCACAUCAUCUGUGAACGGGUAAUAAUUCUAGGAGGAAGAGUACAAGUAGAAACAGCCAUAGGGAGAUGGACAGGCAACAGGCUCUUACUCCAUCCUCUGCAAACGGAACAUGUAAAUUAUGUAAAUUGUUGUGUGCGAAUGCUUUGCCUAGGUGCUUCUUGGGCAUCAACCCAGAGACGGGCACAAAAUCUAAGAGGCAGAGAGGUCACAUGAACCAGCAAGUCUGCACCCUUAUCAGGAAGCUCAUUGACUUCGAAUGGAUGUCAAUCUAAUUGGAUAGAACCCACACUAUGCAGGUGCCAGCUGCGAGGGAAGGAGCGAGACACCUGCGACCCUCUCUAUUCCCACCUUUUUGUCUUUUCUUACAUCUCUCUCCCUCACUCUCUCUUCUCUGUCUCCUUCUUUCUCUUUUGACACACAUUCCUGUUACCCAGUGUCAAUCCCUGUUGCCCAGUGUUUUAUUCAUGUAAUUAAAUUGUAUUUUAUGUCACUGUUUUUAUCAGUUUUGUUUGGUCCAUCAUUUAUGCUAAAUCACAGUAAUAGAUAGACAUUCACAGUUAUGUACAGUAAUUCUACAGCUGCUUACUGCUAAAUUACAGUAAUAGAUAGACACUAACUAAUUUCACAGUUAAAUACAUGAAUUCUACAGCUGCUUGCUGCUAAAUUACAGUAAUAGAUAGACACUAACUAAUUUCACAGUUAAAUACAUGAAUUCUACAGCUGCUUGCUGCUAAAUUACAGUAAUAGAUAGACACUAACUAAUUUCACAGUUAAAUACAUUAAUUCUACAGCAGCUUACCGCUAAAUCACAGUAAUGCGAUGUCAUAAUUACUGUGAAGUCACAGUAUACAGCUGUCAUUUCACAAUAAUUUACUGUAAAAAUGUUACAGUAACUUACUGUGAAAGUCAUGCAAUUAUUAACCUGCAAUUUAUUGUAAAUUUACAGUCAAAUAAUUAACAG